UAUGGGCAACUGGGCAACUUUUCCUUUGGACAGGUUUUGAUAAAUCUCCCCCAUAGUAUAUCUACACAAAGAAGAACAAGAAAGCUGUUUGCUUCAUAAUGGAGUGCCUAAAUAUGACGCUGGCGAUGAAGCGGAGAUUCAGAAAUAGAUAAGAUUCCGCACAAAAGUCCCCCUGUGUGAACAAGGCCUUAGAUGUCCUUCCAGAUGGGCAUCUGUACAACAAGUGCUGGCAGGGCAUAAUGAGACCCGUAGGUUUGACUGGCAACUACUUUCAUGAAACCGAAAAGAUAAAGAAGCAAGAUGGAUUCCCCUGGGUUUGUUGUAUGGCGGCCAUGAGCGUCCAGACAAUGAGGAGUUUACAGACCACUAUCUGGAGUAAAAACCACACACACAGCAUCAUUACAAACAUCGCAAAUGACAUUCCAGAGAGCACCAAAUCUGAAGAGUUUUUUAGCUCCCAGCCAACUGCGACAACGUUGGAAUACUAUCAAUAAUGUAGAUUUUUUUUAACCAAACCUGGGAGCUACAAUUGCAACAGAAAAAAUUGAAUGUGUUGCACAGAAAUUACCUACGGCCAGACAACCAUAACUUCCCAAAAAAAACCCUGGUAAAAUCUUCAACAUAAAAACCUGACUUACAUGUCAAUCUGAUUAUGUCAUAUAUGUGCUCCAAUGUUCCCUCCAGAAUGUAGGGCGUACAACAGAGUCCCUACAUAGUAGAUUGAAUAAACAUUGCUACAAUAUUCGCAAUAAAUUCCAAUUACAUGGAUUCUCUAGGCAUUGCUCCCAAUUUCAUCCAGAUAUUGAACAUCCUGUCCGAAUCACACCUUUGGAAAGAAUUCCGAAUGAUCUCUCAAACAGAUUUGAACUUAAACGGAAAGAGGUAUACUGGAUAUACUGUAUGGGAACUCUUGUUCCAGAUGGGCUCAAGACCAGCGCCUUUAUUCAGAGGAGCAAAUUUUUACAUUUCCAUAUUGUGCCCCUACCGGAUAGACUGACGUCAUUCCAGGAAGUUCCUUGUGGCAGCGGUCCGGCUACUUUCUCUCCAGACGCCACCUAACGGUUAAAUGCAUGGGUACACUAACCUAUCAGGAGGGAAGAAUAGUCCUGGAGGGCUGACUUAGACAAUGGAAGGUUUAAGAAUAGUGCAAGGGUCCAAAUCUAGGAGGACAAAUAAUACAGAAUUGGCAACCAGGAGUUGUCAGUCCGAGGUUCAGUAGCCAGGAGGGCUUCUGAAGGGUUUUGUGCCUAAAUUCUAUAGCACGGAACGUGCAACAGAAUGUACGACAAACAGAAAAAAAAACAGACAGAAUCUGAAUCACUCUGAGUGAAAAAGAAAACCUACAAAAUGGGCAUUGUUUUCGGGAAAAGGGGCGUGUUCCCUACAU